rnacentral:rRNA from 1 species
AACGAACGCUGGCGGCAGGCUUAACACAUGCAAGUCGAGCGCGUAGCAAUACGAGCGGCAGACGGGUGAGUAACGCGUGGGAAUCUACCCAUCUCUACGGAACAACUCCGGGAAACUAGAGCUAAUACCGUAUACGUCCUUCAGGAGAAAGAUUUAUCGGAGAUGGAUGAGCCCGCGUUGGAUUAGCUAGUUGGUGGGGUAAUGGCCUACCAAGGCGACGAUCCAUAGCUGGUCUGAGAGGAUGAUCAGCCACAUUGGGACUGAGACACGGCCCAAACUCCUACGGGAGGCAGCAGUGGGGAAUAUUGGACAAUGGGCGCAAGCCUGAUCCAGCCAUGCCGCGUGAGUGAUGAAGGCCCUAGGGUUGUAAAGCUCUUUCAACGGUGAAGAUAAUGACGGUAACCGUAGAAGAAGCCCCGGCUAACUUCGUGCCAGCCGCCGCGGUAA